AAAAACGAAAGGAUAAACCAGACGAGGCAACAUCAAAAGAGAAAAAAAACCACAAAAUAUUCCCCAACACAGAAAGGACAAAACAAAAGAGGUGAGGAAAAGUACCAAACUCCAGAACGGAAAACACCUCAAGAAACCGCACAAGACAAAACACGACAAAACAACUGGAAAUGCUUACACCAACGAACCUUAGGAAGGAAAGAGAAGGAAAGGAAAC
rnacentral:lncRNA from 1 species